AGGGUAUAGCUCAGUGGUAGAGCACAUGCUUAGCAUGCACGAGGUCCUGGGUUCAAUCCCCAGUCCCUA
rnacentral:tRNA from 1 species